UACAGAGGUCUCGAGCGUUAGGCGGAAUCACUGGGCUUAAAGCGUGUGUAGGCGGAUCCGUAAGUACCUUGUGAAAUCCCACGGCUUAACCGUGGAACUGCUGGGUAUACUGCGGGUCUUGAGCCACCUAGGGGCGAGCGGAACAGAUGGUGGAGCGGUGAAAUGCGUAGAUAUCAUCUGGAACGCCAACGGUGAAAACAGCUCGCUGGGGGUGUGCUGACGCUGAGACACGAAAGCCAGGGGAGCAAACGGG
rnacentral:rRNA from 1 species